GCACAAGCGGUGGAGCAUGUGGUUUAAUUCGAUGCAACGCGAAAACCUUACCUACCCUUGACAUGUCCGGAAUCCCGAAGAGAUUUGGGAGUGCUCGCAAGAGAACCGGAACACAGGUGCUGCAUGGCUGUCGUCAGCUCGUGUCGUGAGAUGUUGGGUUAAGUCCCGCAACGAGCGCAACCCUUGUCAUUAGUUGCCAUCAUUUGGUUGGGCACUCUAAUGAGACUGCCGGUGACAAACCGGAGGAAGGUGGGGAUGACGUCAAGUCCUCAUGGCCCUUAUGGGUAGGGCUUCACACGUCAUACAAUGGUCGGUACAGAGGGUUGCCAACCCGCGAGGGGGAGCUAAUCCCACAAAGCCGAUCGUAGUCCGGAUCGCAGUCUGCAACUCGACUGCGUGAAGUCGGAAUCGCUAGUAAUCGUGGAUCAGCAUGUCACGGUGAAUACGUUCCCGGGUCUU
rnacentral:rRNA from 1 species